rnacentral:rRNA from 1 species
UACGUAGGUGGCAAGCGUUGUCCGGAUUUAUUGGGUUUAAAGGGUGCGUAGGCGGUCUAUUGAGUCAGCGGUGAAAUACUCCAGCUUAACUGGAGGGGUGCCAUUGAUACUGAUGGACUUGAGUCAAGUCGAGGUAGGCGGAAUUGACGGUGUAGCGGUGAAAUGCUUAGAUAUCGUCAAGAACACCAAUAGUGAAGACAGCUUACUGGGCUUAAACUGACGCUGAGGCACGAAAGUGUGGGGAUCAAACAGG